GCGAUGGGCGUGGUUUCUGGAGAAGGGGCGUGGCGCCAGCACCCGGGACCGCCCCUCCCGUACACGGGGGCCGGUGCUNNNNNNNNNNNNNGCCGGUGCUUCCCCUCCCUGUCCCCUGGAAUGAGGAAGCGGCUCCGGCCACCUUCAGCUGUCACACGGCAGCGUAGUUCUCCGCUGGCACCAUCCCCUCGCCCUGCAUCCUCGGGUGCAGGGACCUUUCACCACCCGGGGAUUGAGGGGGCUGGCUCUGGACAUGGCUGGGCAGAUAGGAGGGCUGCCCCUGCCCCUGCUGCUGCUGAGCCUUGCCGUGCUGGACUUCACGCUAGCCCUGAAACCUCCGCCCCAGAGGUGCUGACGGAUGCCUUCACAGCCAGCGAUGCAACGCCUCGCGGGAGCAGCACGGCAGCCUCCAGCAUCACCACACCGCAGGCGAGGGGCAGCGCAGCCCGCGGCACUCCUGGGUCACCCACUGGCACCACGGUGCAGCCUGACCCCACCCCAACAGGACCAGGGCUCACCACCGGCACCCCAACUCCAAUCCCCAUGGCCACAACACCCAACUGUGCUGAGACGACCAUUGUCACGUCUGUUGGGACCAGCACGGCCCUGGCUGUCAGCUCGUUUGGAGUCAAAACAAGCCCGCUGCCUCCCUCCCCCUCUUCUCUUCUCUCCUCCACCUGGGUGGGCACCACGCUCGGCACCAGCACCCGCCAAGGGCCAGCCGUGACCACGCUGCUUGGCAGCACAUCCCCAGGGACCGGCAGCGCCUCUUCGCCCACCGCACCGGCACCGACAGCCACUUCGGACGAGCCCUCGACGACCCCGCUGGACACCGCGACCACCCCCGUUACCAGCAUGGGGGUCCCCGGGAGCACCUCCGCCCCCAGCCAGUCAGCCGGGACCACGGCUGGGACCACCCCUGGUACCUCCACCCCGACAGCACCUGAGACCUCCAGUGCCGCCGCAGGUACCACUGCCACGGAUGUGACAGUCUCCGUGUCCACAGCUCACCCUACCUCCUCAACACCUAUGGAGACCUCAGCACUGCUGCCCACCAGCAUCUCCACCACUGCAGCCACAGUCCCUCCCUCCAGCCCUGAAACUGGAACCUCCACCCCUGAAACUGGAGCCUCCACCCCAGAGAGGUCCAGCACAUCACCAGGGCCCGGCAGCACUCCCACCAUGCCUCCUUCCACCGCACCAGCACUGACAGCUUCUUCGGAUGAGCCCUUGAUGACCCCGUCAGACACCACGGCCACCCCUGAUACCAGCACGGGGGCCCAUGGGAGCACUCCUGCUCCCAGCCAGCCAGAGGGAACCACAGCCAGAGCCACCCCUGGCAUCUCCACCAUGACCACGGGGCUAGUCCCAGGCACCCCAACAGCACCUGAGACCCCCAGUGCAGCCACGGGCAUGGAACCCUCUUCCCCUGCCACCGACUCAACCCAGACCCCAGAGGUUACCCUCAGCACCCCUGCAGACCUACCAACGACACUGCCCGUCUGCCCCACCGCCACGUCCAACACCAGUGCAUCUCACCUCUUUUUGUCACUGCGGCUAACUGUCCCCUUGGACCUGGGGAACACCACUGUGCAGGAACUGGUGUUGUCCAAGCUCCGCAGGGACCUGCAGACGGCAUUCCCAUUUGCCGGCCUGGCAGUGGAGUGGCGAGGGCACAGGAGGACCUGA
ensembl:lncRNA